rnacentral:rRNA from 1 species
UACGUAGGGCGCAAGCGUUGUCCGGAAUUAUUGGGCGUAAAGAGCUCGUAGGCGGUUUGUCGCGUCUGCCGUGAAAACCCGAGGCUUAACCUCGUGGCUUGCGGUGGAUACGGGCAGACUAGAGGUAGGUAGGGGAGAAUGGAAUUCCCGGUGUAGCGGUGAAAUGCGCAGAUAUCGGGAGGAACACCGGUGGCGAAGGCGGUUCUCUGGGCCUUACCUGACGCUGAGGAGCGAAAACGUGGGGAGCGAACAGG